rfam:Corchorus olitorius cultivar O-4 contig15175, whole genome shotgun sequence.
UACUCUAGUUGAUUUUGGCACGGUUCAAUCGGAUCAAAUCUCUCAGUGUGCCUACUGAGCCCUUUAGUCUGAUUGAGCCGUGCCAAUAUCAACAUUUAGUCA